AGGCAGACACUUUAACCUCUGAGCCACCAGGGACAAAAGUACAGUUUAAAUAAGGUUGUCUGGUCAGCAUGUGAAACAUAUACCCUCUGAGCACCUGUACUCUACGGCACUCUUCUCGGAGCUUGGAAUACACCAGUAUAUUUUAACCCCGCAUCCCCACACUGUGAAGCCUAAUGUCUUUUUUAACUACUUAAUGAUCUCCUGGCCCUGGGCUAAUUAAGCACCAUUUGAAGAAUCAUAUUGUUGUGCACGUGAUGUGGUGUUUUAGUAAACUGGCUCCCUGAGGGGGAAAAACCUUUAAAAAUGAAAAGCCAUAAUGUACUAUUGGAUUAUUUUCUUGGUGUAAAUAUUAUACAAUGGCCAGUUUCUAGCUACAGCAUCAU
rnacentral:lncRNA from 1 species